rnacentral:rRNA from 1 species
AGUGAACGCUGGCGGUAGGCCUAACACAUGCAAGUCGAACGGCAGCACAGUAAGAGCUUGCUCUUACGGGUGGCGAGUGGCGGACGGGUGAGGAAUACAUCGGAAUCUACUUUUUCGUGGGGGAUAACGUAGGGAAACUUACGCUAAUACCGCAUACGACCUACGGGUGAAAGCAGGGGAUCUUCGGACCUUGCGCGAUUGAAUGAGCCGAUGUCGGAUUAGCUAGUUGGCGGGGUAAAGGCCCACCAAGGCGACGAUCCGUAGCUGGUCUGAGAGGAUGAUCAGCCACACUGGAACUGAGACACGGUCCAGACUCCUACGGGAGGCAGCAGUGGGGAAUAUUGGACAAUGGGCGCAAGCCUGAUCCAGCCAUACCGCGUGGGUGAAGAAGGCCUUCGGGUGGUAAAGCCCUUUUGUUGGGAAAGAAAAGCAGCAGGUUAAUACCCCGCUGUUCUGACGGUACCCAAAGAAUAAGCACCGGCUAACUUCGG